UCCGUAGGUGAACCUGCGGAAGGAUCAUUGAAUCGAUCGAAUCCACUCUGGUAACCAACCGUCCCCUCGCCCUGGUGCGAGCGUCGGUCCCCUGGCUGGGGUCUUCUGACCGCAGUUCAGGUCCGGCGGGCCUUGCUCCCACGGGUGUCCCUUCGGGGCCCCAUGGGUUGCAGGGUCGGUAAUUAUAUUCAACUCAACCCACCCCAAACCUAAAUCAAAACUAAAGCUGUCUAGUGAGUGCAUUUAUGCCUUACUUUAACCAAAGACAACUCUCAACAACGGAUAUCUUGGCUCCCGUAUCGAUGAAGAACGCAGCGAAAUGCGAUACGUAGUGUGAAUUGCAGAAUUCCGUGAACCAUCGAAUCUUUGAACGCAAAUUGCGCCCGAGGCUUCGGCCGAGGGCAUGUCUGCCUCAGCGUCGGCUUACACCCUCGCUCUCCCUCUCCUUUGGAGUCGUAGAGCGGAUCUGGCCUUCCCGGCUCCUCCUCGAUUCGUCGUUGAGUCCGGGUUGGUUGAAGUGUAGAGGCUUGAGCAUGGACCCCGUUUGUAGGGUAAUGACUUGGUAGGUAGCAUCGCUACACAGCCUGUCGUUGCCCGAGGGGACUUUGCUGGCGGCCUAGCAGGAAUUCGGGGUGGUUCUGCCACCCUGAAUGUCUCACAAAUUCGACCUGAGCUCAGGCAAGACUACCCGCUGAACUUAAGCAUAUCAAUAAGCGGAGGA
rnacentral:rRNA from 1 species